rnacentral:rRNA from 1 species
CAGUCGCCACGGGAAUACAGAGGGUGCGAGCGUUAAUCGGAUUUACUGGGCGUAAAGCGUGCGUAGGCGGCUUCUUAAGUCGGAUGUGAAAUCCCUGAGCUUAACUUAGGAAUUGCAUUCGAUACUGGGAAGCUAGAGUAUGGGAGAGGAUGGUAGAAUUCCAGGUGUAGCGGUGAAAUGCGUAGAGAUCUGGAGGAAUACCGGUGGCGAAGGCGGCCCCCUGGACAAAGACUGACGCUCAGGUGCGAAAGCGUGGGGAGCAAACAGGAUUAGAUACCCCAGUAGUCCCUGUCUCUUAUAC